CGAGAAAGUUCUUCUGCGGAUGCAGCUUCUGCACGAUCCUGAAAAUAAAUAUGUAGUCAUCGAAGUGGAGCAAUGUCUUUCACUUUUGCACUCACAAUUUGUUAGGUUAGAUGCAAAUAUGAUGAUAAUUUUCAAGUUUCUAUAGUUUUCCACUUUGCAAAGUGGUGCCAGAAACAGAGGUGGAUCUUCCAAGCUAAUGAGAGCAACUAUCGAAUAACAUGUGCUGGCUGCAGACACGGAUAUACCGAUGCAAAAUUUUCAAGUAGGAAGUAGAUGCUUGGAGACACGUUUAUGAAAAUAUUACAGUUAAAUAUAUUAUAUUUACAUUUUAUUUCUUUUUUUAUUUAAAUGGGGAAAAAAAACUUUUGCUCAGUUUCGAUUUUUAACCUUUUGAUCACGAGUGACUAUUUGUAGUACUUAAAAUCUCUAGUAAGACUGUAUUAAAUAAUUGCAAUAGUAGAUAUAAAUAGAUAAAACACGAACCUCAUACAAUUUUUUUCCUUUGCAUUCUGUUUAUUAUUUUAUACAAAUUAUUUAAUAAAAUAAAAUAUUUCCUACUUUUAUAUUCUAAAAUCAACAAAAUUGGGCUUGUCUUGUUGAGGAAAUGUGCCUCACUGCCAGAAAGUAAAAGAGCCUAAAAAUAUAGUACAAACAAUGUAGAAUGGUGGCUGUAUGUCAUUAAAGUAUCCAUGGUACAAACUGAAAAAAGUAGAACAGCCUACGUGGUGUAUCGAACAAUCCUCAAGUCUACAAGGAGUAUUGAUGUUUCAUACGCAUCGGUUCUGUUUCAUAGAAUGACACAAUUUGAUUGAUAAUAGAAACAUCAACUAGAAAGAUGCAAGAAGUCUAUCACAAUCAAUAUUGGGCAAUAGAAUCUAUGCUCUCUCACAAUGCACAUUGGAAAAACGCAAAAGGGGAAAAGUAAAGUAGAUUUUCCUUCACAAUUCAUUUGCUUUAGGUCAAUGCUAAGUUGCUAACUUAGUGGG